rnacentral:sRNA from 1 species
GUUGGGCAAGGUGGUGUGUGCCUGUAAUCUCAGCAGCUCAGGAGACUGAGGCAGGAGGAUCUCGAGUUCAAGAUCAGCCUCAGCAAAAGAAAAGUGUGAAGCAAUUUGAGAUCCUGUCUCUA